UGGGGAAUUUUGGACAAUGGGCGAAAGCCUGACCCAGCAAUGCCGCGUGUGUGAAGAAGGCCUUCGGGUUGUAUAGCACUUUUGUCCGGAAAGAAAUGGCUCUGGUUAAUACCUGGGGUCGAUGACGGUACCGGAAGAAUAAGGACCGGCUAACUACGUUCCAGCAGCCGCGGUAAUACGUAGGGUCCAAUCGUUAAUCGGAAUUACUGGGCGUAAAGCGUGCGCAGGCGGUUGUGCAAGACCGAUGUGAAAUCCCCGAGCUUAACUUGGGAAUUGCAUUGGUGACUGCACGGCUAGAGUGUGUCAGAGGGGGGUAGAAUUCCGCGUGUAGCAGUGAGAUGCGUAGAGAUGUGGAGGAAUACCGAUGGCGAAGGCAGCCCCCUGGGAUAACACUGACGCUCAUGCACGAAAGCGUGGGGAGCAAACAGG
rnacentral:rRNA from 1 species